UACGAGAGGCCCAAACGUUAUUCGGAAUUACUGGGCUUAAAGAGUUCGUAGGCGGCAUGACAAGUCGGGUGUGAAAGCCCUCGGCUCAACCGAGGAAUUGCGCUCUAAACUGUCGUGCUAGAGGAACCUAGAGGUGAGCAGAACUGAUGGUGGAGCGGUGAAAUGCGUAGAUAUCUGGAGGAACACCGGUGGCGAAGGCGGCAUCCUGGACCGGCAUUGACGCUGAGGCGCGAAAGCCAGGGGAGCAAACGGG
rnacentral:rRNA from 1 species